AACCCAUGGUGAGGGCACCUUCUCAAUAAAUCCUUAUACCUCUCAUAUGCAUCAUAUAAAGUCUCUAGAUCCAUUUUCACGAAGAAAGAGAUAUCAUUUGGCUGUCU
rnacentral:snoRNA from 1 species